CGCCGCUUCACCAUGGUUGACCACCGUGGGGUCUCGGAUUGCAACGGCGGCUGCGCUGGAUUUGCACCGACGCGGCGGACAGCGCCUCCCUGGUCCGUUCGGUUGCACGGACGGCGAGCGGUGCGGCCGGAUGGGGCACGGAAGCGAGCGGCAACGUGGAGCAGUAACAGAUCAUGGAUGCGGGCUACGCGGCCGACGCGCCGUCGUCCCGGCUUCCGUGAGCGGAUUCAGCGGACGCGCGAUGCGGGUGCCCGAUCCUCUCACGGGAUGCGGCGUGGAGUCUCCGGCGCCCUCCCUGCUCCCUGCCGGCUGCCGCACCAGCGCCUCCGCGCGGGAUGCGACAGUCUCCGGCGCCCCCCUGCUCGCUGCUCUGUCACUUCGGCCAUCGUGCAGCUGCCCCGCGCUCCACUCCCUCCAACCGCACGUAGCACUGCCCUCUCCUAGAAACGCUCUGCCGCCUCCUUGCCUAGCCUCCUCCAUUGGCCAUCCGCGUCUUGGCCACAAGCGCCCCGCCCCGCCGUCUUCCUGGUCUGUCCACACUACUGAGCCCUUCCACGCUUCACGCCCACGGUGCCGGAGACACGCUAACCUGGUAUGUGUACGAUAGCGGCAUACAAAAUUCUGAAUUUUUUGUAGUGUACAAUAUUCAGGUUCGUUCAUGUUGUAUAAUUGUUCCCAUGUUCAAUACCAAUACCUGCCAUUUUCUACAGUGUACAUCUUUUGCUCUUGGUUCUAAGCUAUCCAAGGCAAUGGACUUCUUCCGACCAUGUUUCAGAAAGAAGGUUGUACUGACAUAUAAUUGCAAAUCUUACUACACAUAAUGCCAUAGUUAAAACCGAUAUGCAAACGAAUGUAUUGGAACAAGCUCUUAGAUAUGCAGUAAGCAGAUUUCUGAAAUAAUGAGUUUUCUGAACCAUGAAAAUUUGCGAACACGAAUCGGUCUUGUUUCCCUUUUCCUUUCCCUGCAGCAGGCGGUGACUGAGAUUGGCGUUUGCCGGUGGUGACAAAGAGGAGGAAGUAACUUCAAUGAUGACAUAUGGUGGCUCCGUGGCUGCGGCGGCGGUGUGUGUGAGGGGAAUGAGGCCAUGACGAUGGAUCCAGCAUGAUAAGCUCCUUCUUCGCCCCUCCCUUGGCUGCUAGCACCACCCACCCUUCUCUGCUUGACCUGGUGAUGAUGGCCUUCUUCAGGAUGCGUGAACCUCUUGAUGUUGAUGGUCAAGAAGGCAACGGCAACACGACAACAAUGCGAACAAGUGAACCAUAGGCUCCUAUUGCGGACGCUACAAGAAUGUUUUUAGUAAAUCAGAAACAGCCAUUUACGCAUUAUUAGCUAUUCAUAUUUUCUAUUAUGUAUUAUCUACUGUAUUUUUAGUUGUGUGAGUGCUCAAUGGCUGCUUGCCCGUUGUAUACUGUAGGAGGGUGAUAAUGCAAGUACAUCCUUAUUAAAGCUAAUUAGGCAUGAACCCAUGUUCAUGGAAUACAGAUCGUUUGCUUUGGUAA